rnacentral:rRNA from 1 species
CCUACGGGUUGCAGCAGUGGGGAAUAUUGGACAAUGGGCGAAAGCCUGAUCCAGCAAUGCCGCGUGUGUGAAGAAGGCCUUUGGGUUGUAAAGCACUUUUAUCAGGAACGAAAUACCACGGGUUAAUACCCUAUGGGGCUGACGGUACCUGAGGAAUAAGCACCGGCUAACUUCGUGCCAGCAGCCGCGGUAAUACGAAGGGUGCAAGCGUUAAUCGGAAUUACUGGGCGUAAAGCGUGCGUAGGCGGUUUGAUAAGUCUGCUGUGAAAGCCCUGGGCUCAGCCUGGGAAUGGCAGUGGAAACUGGCGAGCUAGAGUGUGAUAGAGGAUGGUGGAAUUCCCGGUGUAGCGGUGAAAUGCGUAGAGAUCUGAAGGAAUACCAGUGGCGAAGGCGGCCCCCUGGACAAAGACUGACGCUCAGAUGCGAAAGCGUGGGGAGCAAACAGGAUUAGAUACCCGCGUAGUC